rnacentral:rRNA from 1 species
CCUACGGGAGGCAGCAGUGAGGAAUAUUGGUCAAUGGGCGCUAGCCUGAACCAGCCAAGUAGCGUGAAGGAUGACUGCCCUAUGGGUUGUAAACUUCUUUUAUAUGGGAAUAAAGUGCAGUAUGUAUACUGCUUUGCAUGUACCUUAUGAAUAAGUAUCGGCUAACUCCGUGCCAGCAGCCGCGGUAAUACGGAGGAUCCGAGCGUUAUCCGGAUUUAUUGGGUUUAAAGGGAGCGUAGGCGGGUUGUUAAGUCAGUUGUGAAAGUUUGCGGCUCAACCGUAAAAUUGCAGUUGAUACUGGCAGCCUUGAGUACAGUAGAGGUAGGCGGAAUUCGUGGUGUAGCGGUGAAAUGCUUAGAUAUCACGAAGAACUCCGAUUGCGAAGGCAGCCUGCUGGACUGUAACUGACGCUGAUGCUCGAAAGUGUGGGUAUCAAACAGGAUUAGAUACCCCAGUAGUC